UUUUGAGGCUCCUAUGUUAUUUUAAGUCAUGUUAAAUGCUGUUGAAGCGAGUGUGUAUUUGAAAGACUGUUAAGAUGUAUUGAGUUAACUGUUAUCUGUGUAAUGUAUCACGCCAACUGUACCAUUUUGUUAAUAGAAUUAACAGCAUUUUGCUAAUCUGUUAGCGCCCAGCCUGCGUGUCCGGAAUCAUAUUGGUAACGAGCGACGUUGCAGUUAUUUAGCUUAGUACAGUUAUCAAAGCUGUAAGCAGCAGACAAAAGAAAGAACUGAAUUUGAGUUAUAGGUGAUUAGAGUAAGUUAAUGAUGUUCUGUUGAGAAGAAGUGUGAAAUUGAGAGUACAUUGAUAAGACAUGUUUAUGUGUAAAAUAAAGUCUGGCAGAAGCGAGAGAAGGAAACACA